CGUCCGUUUAUAUCAUUUAAUCCUGGUAGUUGAUCAUUUUGAUCAACGACCCACAUCCCUUCUUUUCUUUUUAAUUUUGAACCACCCUAACCCUACUCUCAUUUUCAUUUCGAGCGCCGCCCUCAAGCCCCCUUCUCUAAAACUCCCUCUAGCACUCGAAUCCCUAGCCACCUCUGUCGUUUUCUCCGACCAAUUCUCACCGGAGUCCAUGGCUUCUCAGGCCGUGGACGGCCUGUGCUCACUUACCUUCACCCCAAAUCAUGGCGGUUCAAGGCUUUCAAGGUUCAACCUCAAUGAUGCAUGUUCAGAUCUUCCGCAGAUUUGUGUUCCUGUGGCUUCUCUAGCUCCGUUCCGAAGUGUUCGAGCCUCAAGAGCCUAGAUAUGGUCUAGACAUGUUCGAGACCAGAUCCUUUCUAAGCCUUCUCAUUUCUAGCUUUUUCGAGAAACCCUAAAAGUUGUUCGAGGUUCCUUCUUCCUUUAUUUUCUUAGAUCUGUGGUAGAUCUGUGUUAUACUCGAAGUUUCAAUUCUUUUUCCCAAUUUUCUUCUUCAAAAUUAGUCAGUUUCAAUUUAGGCUUUUCAAAAAUCUUUAAAACAAUUUCUGUUUCUUCUUCUUCUUCUUCCUUUAUGUGAAUCUGUAUGUAUAUGCUUUGUUCUAAUAUGUUUUCGCUUAUGUACGUCUUCUUCUAUGUUCUUAUGUUUUGCCGUUAUUACGCAUGUUUUUCUACUUGUGCUCUGCUAUUUCCACUACUGGUUUCUACAACAUGCUUUUACAUGUCUAGCUUAUGUGUUCCUUUACUAUUUUGUUACCGAGCUAUUUGUUUGCCUCUACUGGACUUUUGUUUAUGUUCUAAACUUGUUUCAUCUAUUGUUUCUUAAGUUCUAUCUCACCUCUUUCUCUCCAGAACUUGCUUAAGUUCUGAGUUUUCUUAAACCUAUUCUUUAUGAUUUUUCACUCUGUUGCUUCGAACUUGGUAUGGUAUCUGUGUGCCUUCUCAGGAGACUCUAAGAGAGGCCUCUGGGUCUGUUUCGAUGGCUUGGCUUCUCCUUUCUGUGCCCUACUCGAAUUUGAAACCCUAGGGUAUUGGCUUUCUGCGAGUUUUGGUCUUUGUGUCUGGACUAGGGUUCUACUUAGGAACCCUUGGCUGAACAGGAACCUUCUCAUUUGCUUAUGGUUUUGAUACUUUCUAUGACAGUCUUUUCUUUAUUGUUUUACAUUUGCAUGCUUUAUAUAUAAGAGCUUUUCUUUCAAAAUGGUCCUACCAACUUGUGAUUGAUUUCAAUUCCUUUUACUAAGGCUCGAUUGAUUGUUAUUGAUUUUCCAAUUCAACCUUUCCCUCGCCUUUUCUCUGACUAAGUUCAUUCGAACAAAGCUUUUAAUUUACUGGCUGUUUGAUUUAUUUACUUUCCUUAUUUCUCACAAAUCAUGUACCAUAGCAUUCUUGCCUUAAAUAGUUUCCGUGUACUUACCCUUGUUAUGUUACUUUGAAAGGGUUUAAAUUAUUUUCCUUUCCUUAAUUAUUCCAUGCCCGUUUGAAAUCAAAUCCCUUAACCUUAGGGAGACCUUCUGUGAUUGAUUGUAAACUAUUUUUUUCCUUUUGCUUACUCAUUUUCUGCACUAUUAAAGGGGACUACCCUAUUGCUCUUAGACACAACUUCAUACCUCAGACUUCAAUUGAAAACUAUACAAUUUCAAUACUUUCUCCACUACUGCUUUCUCUACUUCUAAUACUGAGCACUCUGCUCCUCUUCUCUUUUACUGUCUGAAACAUUCUUGAGUUCCUUUUGAACUCUCAAGUAUUUGCUGAAGAACUUGAGUUUGCUCCUGUUGACUUCUAGUUGUUUACUUGCUCUUAUU
rnacentral:lncRNA from 1 species